rnacentral:rRNA from 1 species
AGUGAACGCUGGCGGUAGGCCUAACACAUGCAAGUCGAACGGCAGCACAGUAAGAGCCUGCUCUUACGGGUGGCGAGUGGCGGACGGGUGAGGAAUACAUCGGAAUCUACUUUUUCGUGGGGGAUAACGUAGGGAAACUUACGCUAAUACCGCAUACGACCUGCGGGUGAAAGCAGGGGAUCUUCGGACCUUGCGCGAUUGAAUGAGCCGAUGUCGGAUUAGCUAGUUGGCGGGGUAAAGGCCCACCAAGGCGACGAUCCGUAGCUGGUCUGAGAGGAUGAUCAGCCACACUGGAACUGAGACACGGUCCAGACUCCUACGGGAGGCAGCAGUGGGGAAUAUUGGACAAUGGGCGCAAGCCUGAUCCAGCCAUACCGCGUGGGUGAAGAAGGCCUUCGGGUUGUAAAGCCCUUUUGUUGGGAAAGAAAAGCAGCAGGUUAAUACCCCGCUGUUCUGACGGUACCCAAAGAAUAAGCACCGGCUAACUUCGUG